GGGAGGGACCGGUCACGAAGCAGCCAUCGGAGGGUAGCUGACGUAGUUGACAGGGACCCCCGCGGGGUGGACCACACCCGGGGGAGGCAUAGGGUGCCCCGUGUCGGUUCAAGGGGAUGGUCGCAACAGGACGGCAGUUCCACGAGCGGGAGUUCCCCGGAGAGGAGGCGGGCUGCUGUGUAGGCUCAAGGACCGGGGCGGCUAGCAGGGAGAUGGGGGACUGUUCCCAGGACGAGAGGGGACGGGGCAGGGUUUCUGCGGCCAGCCUACCCAGGAUGUCUUCUCCUUACAGGUUUCGAGGACGGUCACCCUUGGAGAGGGAGAGAUCCCACGCGACAAGGACAGCAGGAUGGUCGCCGGCAUGCAAGGCGGACCUGGUUACAGGACAGGCGUCUUUCAGGUCCCCCGCGGAUCGAGUGAGACCCAGCGCAUCAGGAGCACGGCCCGGAGCAGCGGGACGCUUGGGGCAGGAGAUCCACUAUCGGUCAGCAACCCCACGGCCUUUGGC